GGGGUGUUAGGGCACGACACCGGAGAGGGAGCCUGAGAAACGGCUACCACAUCCAAGGAUGGCAGCAGGCGCGCAAAUUACCCAAUCCCGACACGGGGAGGUAGUGACAGUAAAUAACAAUACGGGGUUCUUAAGGAUCUCGUAAUUGGAAUGAGUACAAUUUAAAUCUCUUAACGAGGAACAAUUGGAGGGCAAGUCUAGUGCCAGCAGCCGCGGUAAUUCCAGCUCCAAUAGCGUAUAUUAAAGUUGCUGCAGUUAAAAAGCUCGUAGUUGAAUUUCGGGACCAAUAUGUCGGUCGUGCCUCGGUACGUACUGGCAUCGUUGGUUUCUCCCUUCUGACGAACCAUGAUGUCAUUUAUUUGGUGUCGUGGGGAAUCAGGACUGUUACUUUGAAAAAAUUAGAGUGUUUAAAGCAGGCUCACGCUUGAAUACAUUAGCAUGGAAUAAUGAAAUAGGACGUUUGAUUCUAUUUUGUUGGUUUCUAGGAUCGACGUAAUGAUUAAUAGGGAUAGUUGGGGGCAUUAGUAUUCAAUUGUCAGAGGUGAAAUUCUUGGAUUUAUUGAAGACUAACUACUGCGAAAGCAUUUGCCAAGGAUGUUUUCAUUAAUCAAGAACGAAAGUUAGGGGAUCGAAGACGAUCAGAUACCGUCGUAGUCUUAACCAUAAACUAUGCCGACUAGGGAUCGGAUGAUGUUAAUUUUUUAAUG
rnacentral:rRNA from 1 species